rnacentral:rRNA from 1 species
UACGGGGGAUCCAAGCGUUAUCCGGAAUCAUUGGGCUUAAAGGGUCCGUAGGUGGACGAUUAAGUCAGGGGUGAAAGCCUGCAGCUCAACUGUAGAAUUGCCCUUGAUACUGGUUGUCUUGAAUCAUUGUGAAGUGGUUAGAAUAUGUAGUGUAGCGGUGAAAUGCAUAGAUAUUACAUAGAAUACCAGUUGCGAAGGCAGAUCACUGGCAAUGUAUUGACGCUGAUGGACGAAAGCGUGGGUAGCGAACAGG